AUCUCCCUAAUCACUCUCCCCGUAUCCCUCCUAAUUCCAAUCGCUGCCAAUCGUAGGCUCUUCCACCUUGCUCCCACCGCCUAGAUCCCCUUCUCCCAUGGCCUCGCACGCGCGUGCAUCCUCCUCUCCACGAGUAGCAGGACCACUUCCUUCCCGUCCACCUCGUUGGAGCGCCACCCCUCCGUACGCGGGGCCGUGGCCAUCUCCAACCGGGUGGCCGCUGGUGUUGUUGCCAAACCAUGCAGCCAGAGGAUCACUAGAUGGCCGGAGGAUCAAAACCAUGAGAAUAAGCAUGCGUCCCUUUUGGCUGAGUUUUCUCACAGUAUUCUGUAUUCGUUGUGUCCAUGCAAUACAACUUUGAGAUUGUACGGGGUCAACAACAACAGAAGAACAUGCCUACCGACACUGCGAAUAACACAUGAUGGUUGAUACAAGGCAGGUGCACAACGUGAGAUCUGUUUGGAAGCUACCUGGCACACCCUCGGUGGUCACAGGCCAAGAUCGUAGGCCCGUCAAUGGCGUCGACGCUUGCCGACGUUGACACCCACAUCUUUGUGGGAGAAAUAGACUAGGUCGGACAGGGUUGGAUGGAGCAUAGCGGGGAACAUGGGUUAGGAAGCACAUUUUGUUUUUGGAAGCAUUACUUUCAAUCAAUGGAUGCAAAUUGUGGACAUUUUAUUUUUUUUCAA